UACGUAGGGUGCAAGCGUUAAUCGGAAUUACUGGGCGUAAAGCGUGCGCAGGCGGUGAUGUAAGACAGUUGUGAAAUCCCCGGGCUCAACCUGGGAACUGCAUCUGUGACUGCAUCGCUGGAGUGCGGCAGAGGGGGAUGGAAUUCCGCGUGUAGCAGUGAAAUGCGUAGAUAUGCGGAGGAACACCGAUGGCGAAGGCAAUCCCUGGGCCUGCACUGACGCUCAUGCACGAAAGCGUGGGGAGCAAACAGG
rnacentral:rRNA from 1 species